GGCUCAUGAUAUAGUGGUUUGAGUGUUGGACUAUGACUCUAGAGAUCAGGGUUCGAUUCCCAGCUUGGCCA